UCUCCUGUGAACCUGUAAGUGUAGGGAGCCGUCCCUGCAUUCUCCAUUACAAGAUGGCGCCUGCAUCUGGCAGGCACCGAAUGUAAACAAGAUUAUUGCGCAGGCGCUGGGUAAAUUUCCAUUCCUUGAUCUCUGCCUAUUCCGUGGCGUCAUAUGGCCGGAUGAGCUGCAGCCAAUCAUGGGGUGACAUGUCCAAGGCGGCGGCUGCCAGCCUUUAUUAGGGGACGGGAUUCUUGGCUCAGGGUCUCCGCUCUGGUAAGCUUAUGCUCUCCUCUCAAGACGCAUUAAAGCUUUCCUGCAGAAGGAUCCGAGUGUCCCGUGUAUGAUUUCUUGCUGGCGAGAAAUACAGAGAGCGCGCGGGACAUAUGGUGCCGAAACCCGGGAACAUGUGAACAUCUCCAGCACCACGGAGACCCCUCUAACGAGGCGGAUUCAGAACUGCAGGGUGGUAAAUUCGGAGAGGAUGAAGAGAAUCCCCUGUGGAUCCCGGAAAGACUCACCCGAAGAGCCCCUUUGGACCCUCAAAAGUCGGAACUCCACCCUCUCCCCGGGAGUUGAGAGCCGCUAUUAUCCAGAUUAACUCCUGUCCUUGACGGAGGGACUGUCAUCAUGGAUUGCUUCAGCUGUCUCCUAUUUUAAGAAAAUGGGUAGAGGUGGGAUUGUUUGGUGCAGCCGUUUGCUGCGGAUUGAUGUUGCUUCUCUGGCUGGUCUGUAAGCUCAGGGCUCAAACUAAGAGAGACAAGGUGGUUAUCGCCCAAGCGCUUGUAGCUUUGGAACAAGGAAGCAAUAGGCCGCUGGCCAGACAGCUCUUGCACACCCGGAGCCUGGGCUCAUUGCACAGGGUAGAGUGCCUGGCUUGAGCAGCCCAUGAGGGAUGCUGAGCAUAGGCAUCGCACAGAGUUGCCUAUUAUACAGGCUUCUCUGGGAGGUACGUUGUCCUGCAUAAGGGUUGCCUGCCCUAGUCUCCCUUUCCCAGAAAAACGGCAGAGGACAGGUCGAGAGUGCUUCGGGUCAAGCUAACAGCCUAGUUGCGACUCCCGUACACAGUCUUAAUGUUUGAUUUUGGGAAGGUUCAACCUCUGCCUCUAUCCCUCAACAUAUGGGUGACCUAUUUGCUUGUAAAAAUAUAAAGCCUUAUCAUUAAUUAAUAAAAAAAGGGGGAUCUGUAGGGAGCCGUCCCUG
rnacentral:lncRNA from 1 species